rnacentral:rRNA from 1 species
GAUCCGGUGGUCUGCGUGGAAGGGCCAUCGCUCAACGGAUAAAAGCUACCCUGGGGAUAACAGGCUUAUCUCCCCCAAGAGUCCACAUCGACGGGGAGGUUUGGCACCUCGAUGUCGGCUCAUCACCUCCUGGGGCUGUAGUAGGUCCCAAGGGUUGGGCUGUUCGCCCAUUAAAGUGGUACGCGAGCUGGGUUCAGAACGUCGUGAGACAGUUCGGUCCCUAUCCGUCGCAGGCGUAGGAAAUUAGAGAAGACCUG